rnacentral:rRNA from 1 species
UAGUUAUAUUCUUUAAACCUUAAGAAUUUGGCGGUGUUUUAAUCUAUUUAGAGGAAUUUGCCCCGUUAUCGAUAAUCCUCGUUAUAUCUUACUUUAUUUUGUUUUAAUUUGUAUACCGCUGUUUAUAGUUUAUUUUAUUAGAAUUAGAAUUUACUUUAUUUUUUAUUAAAAAUUAUUUCAAGUCAAGGUGCAGUUUAUAAUAAAGUGGAGGUGAAUUACAAUAUUUUAAAUAGAUGGAUUUAAUUUUUAAAAUUUUAAUGAAAUUGGAUUUAAUAGUAAUUUUAAUUAUAAUGUUAUUUUGAUUUUAGUUCUAAAAUGAGUACACAUCGCCCGAUCGCUCUA